UUGCCAUUCACUGAGAAGGGCUUCCUUACAUGAAAUUGGCGUGUCCUAGUCAUGGUUUUGUGACAUCUGAGAGUACUUAUCACUUCAAGGGAUUAUGCAAUCCUGAAAAUAGUUUCCAAAAAAAUUUAAUUUAACCUUAUUUUUGUAAAUAUGACCUAUGUCUUAUAAUACUCCCCCACUUCCUAUUUGACAAGGAGAGAAAGAAGGCUGUCAUGAUGUGAACUCAAUUUUAUUUUUUCUUUUACAGAAACCAUUUAUCGAAGACUUACCAUGUACCCUGCAUUAUAUGUACAUGAGAGAUACAGUAACAAUCCUAGAUACAAUCCUAGGAGGAAGUUGGGAACCACAAAUUGACAGAUUGUUUUUCUGCAUAAUAGAAGCAAAGUAAAGGGAAAUAAUAUUGCAUUUCUUAUACCUGGGCCCACACUCUCGAACUUUUACUUGCUACAAAUAUUUCAAGGUGACCCCUGAACGGUGCCAGUGGAUAGUAAGCUAGACAAUAUCUGAUUCCAUUGGUUCCAAUCAAAUAUAAAUAAAAGUAGAUAUAUGUCAUACUUUACAUACAAAGAUGAGGUGGUUAAUUUAUCACUAAAAGUGGCUUGGAGUUAGUAGGGUUCCUGGUUCCUGGGAAAAAUACCCUUUAUGGCUUAAGCUCCAUCAAACAGAAACCAUUCUAUAAAGCUACUUGCCUUACCUUUGCCAUUAGAUUGCUCUCCAAAUUAGUUAAAACUUUUAAGCCUAUUUACAAAGCUGUCUGAUGCAAUCCGAUUAUGACACAGCUUGAAUUUCAGUGCCAAUUAUAUGUUUGGGAUAAAAAGAUGAGAUUGGCUUAUAACUAUAUAUUUUUGAAAGAUAGGUGUGUGAUUUGUGCCUGGGAAUCCAAGACCUUAAAUACCUAACUGGUCUUGAUGAAAGUCAGAGAAAUACUAGCUACCCCAUAAUAGAGGUCUUUCCAGGGCAGCCUGGAGCAGUAGAGCACAGAUUCUGAAACUACGACUGCUGUUGUACCUGCUCAGACUUGCUGAAAGAAGAGCUACUCUUCCUCUGACAAAAUGAGGACUGAUGGGUUCUUCUCAGUUUCCUUGGAGACCCACAGGGUGCUGGAGCAACUCCUUCUCCCAUUCUACCAUGUGUGGGUACUGCUAUUGUACUAUUAGUCAGGGGGUGAGAAACCUAACCCUUUACCCCCAGCUGCUAAAUUUUUUCUUCUUUCUUCCUAAGUCCGGAGAGGACAAGAGGCAGCCCCAAAGCUUGCUUUUGUUUUGCCUGUACCUUGGGGAUCCACACUCUUUCUAAGGCCCGUUUUUACAGAAAGAGGGAUGUGCUUCUGUUCUCACUCUAGAACUCAGAUCUACACACGUAGACUUUGAAUUGUUUCUCCAGUAGUGGCCAUGGGCUAUAUCCAUAUUAUUAUUGUUUAAAUGUGUCACCCGCAGUUCAUGUGUUGGAAACCUAAUCCCCAACUUAACAGUAUUGAGAGGCAGGACACUUAAGAGGUGAUUAAGUCAUGAGGGCUCUGCUCUCAUGAAUGGAUGAAUGCUGUUAUCUUGGGAAUGGGUUAAUCAUCAUAGGAAUGGGUUCCUGAUAAAAUAAUGAGUUUGACCCCCAUCUGUCUUGCUCUCUCUCAUGCUCUUUCACCAUGUGAAGCCUUCCAUCAUGUUAUGACUCAGCAAGAAGGCCCUUGCCAGAUGCAGGUGCUUUGACCUUGAACUUCUCAG
rnacentral:lncRNA from 1 species